UCCACUGUGGUGUAGUGGUUUGAAUGUUGGACUACAACUAUGGAGACUAGGGUGCAAUUCCCUGCUCUGGCA